rnacentral:rRNA from 1 species
AUUGAACGCUGGCGGCAGGCUUAACACAUGCAAGUCGAGCGGGGUGAUGGUGCUUGCACUAUCACUUAGCGGCGGACGGGUGAGUAAUGCUUAGGAAUCUGCCUAUUAGUGGGGGACAACAUCUCGAAAGGGAUGCUAAUACCGCAUACGUCCUACGUGAGAAAGCAGGGGAUCACUUGUGACCUUGCGCUAAUAGAUGAGCCGAAGUCGGAUUAGCUAGUUGGUGGGGUAAAGGCCUACCAAGGCGACGAUCUGUAGCGGGUCUGAGAGGAUGGUCCGCCACACUGGGACUGAGACACGGCCCAGACUCCUACGGGAGGCAGCAGUGGGGAAUAUUGGACAAUGGGGGGAACCCUGAUCCAGCCAUGCCGCGUGUGUGAAGAAGGCCUUAUGGUUGUAAAGCACUUUAAGCGAGGAGGAGGCUCUUUUGGUUAAUACCCAAGAUGAGUGGACGUUACUCGCAGAAUAAGCACCGGCUAACUCUGUGCCAGCAGCCGCAGUAA